UUUAUGGAGAGUUUGAUCCUGGCUCAGGAUGAACGCUGGCGGCGUGCCUAAUACAUGCAAGUCGAGCGAACUGACGAGGAGCUUGCUUCUUUGACGUUAGCGGCGGACGGGUGAGUAACACGUGGGUAACCUACCUAUAAGACUGGAAUAACUCCGGGAAACCGGGGCUAAUGCCGGAUAACAUAUCGAACCGCAUGGUUCGAUAGUGAAAGACGGUCUUGC
rnacentral:rRNA from 1 species